rnacentral:rRNA from 1 species
UACGUAGGGGCCGAGCGUUUGUCCGGAUUCAUUGGGCGUAAAGAGCGUGUAGGCGGCCGCUUAAGUCCUGCGUGAAAUCUCGGAGCUCAACUCCGAGCGGUCGUGGGAAACUGGGCGGCUAGAGUGCGGGAGAGGAGAGUGGAAUUGCCUGGUGUAAGCGGUGGAAUGCGCAGAUAUCAGGAAGAACACCCGUGGGCGAAGGCGGCUCUCUGGAACGCAA